GGAUGAACGCUAGCGGCCGGCUUAACACAUGCAAGUCGAGGGGCAGCGCGGGAUAGCAAUAUCCUGGCGGCGACCGGCGGAAGGGUGCGUAACGCGUGAGCGACAUGCCCGUUGCCCGGGGACAACCGGUGGAAACGCCGACUAAUCCCCGAUGGGAUAUUGUGCCGCAUGGCACGAUAUUGAAAGUUACGGCGGCGACGGAUUGGCUCGCGUCCGAUUAGCUUGUUGGCGGGGUAACGGCCCACCAAGGCUGCGAUCGGUAGGGGUUCUGAGAGGAAGGCCCCCCACAAUGGGACUGAGACACGGCCCAUACUCCUACGGGAGGCAGCAGUGAGGAAUAUUGGUCAAUGGGCGGAAGCCUGAACCAGCCAUGCCGCGUGCGGGAAGGAGGCCCUAUGGGCUGUGAACCGCUUUUGCCUGGGGGCAAUAAGGGCGUCGCGCACGUCCGAUGAGAGUACCAGGCGAAUAAGCAUCGGCUAACUCCGUG
rnacentral:rRNA from 1 species